rnacentral:rRNA from 1 species
AUUGAACGCUGGCGGGAGGCUUUACACAUGCAAGUCGAACGAGUGGCGGACGGGUGAGUAAUAUAUCGGAACCUGCCCAAUAGAGGGGGAUAACUACUCGAAAGAGUGGCUAAUACCGCAUACUCUUGGAUCGGCCGAUAUGUGAUGAGCUAGUUGGUGGGGUAAAGGCUCACCAAGGCGACGAUCCGGAGCUGGUGUGAGAGGAAGACCAGCCACACUGGAACUGAGAAACGGCCCAGAGUCCUACGGGAGGCAGCAGUGGGGAAUUUUGGACAAUGGGGGAAAGCCGGAUCCAGCCAUCCCGCGUGUAUGAGAAGGCCUUCGGGUUGUAAAGUACUUUUGGCAGAGAAGCGGUAUCUGCAGAAUAAGCACCGGCUAACUACGUGCCAGCCGCCGCGGUAAUUC